UGGGCACCCGGCAAGAAGGUUCAGCUCUCGGAGUCCACGAUCCAGAGACAUUUUCUUGCCACGGCCAAAUUUAUGGGAUCUCCAAGCUCCCAUUUAGAUUUGUGCGACAUGGAUUGAAGACCAAAUGCAACAGAUGAAUCUGAAAUUUUAACAAGGGUGUACUGUGUUUGAAGCUUGCUAAUGAGGGGUUUGUUUGCCAUGGUAAUGGAUGCAAGAAGUUAAGAAAUCUGAUACUAAGUGACUGUUAUUUAUUAAGUCACAAGGGUUUGGGAGUAAUUGCUACCGGAUGCAAGGAACUUACACAUCUUGAAAUCAAUGGAUGUCAUAACAUUUAAGCUUUGGGCCUAGAAUCUGUUAGAAGAUUUUUCUGUUUAUUCUUUGUUAUUGUUUGCUGUGUUUGUUUCUCUGUGUAUUGCUAAUAUACCAUUUCAUUGCUUUUUGUUUCCUGUAUAACAUAUUAUUUUUUUAAUUUGUUCUCAAUC